rnacentral:rRNA from 1 species
CCAUGGGCGGGGCGAAGUCUGACCGCAACGCCGCGUGUGGGAAGAAGGCCUUCGGGUUGUAAACCCUUUUGUACGGAACGAAACAGUCUGCCCUAAUACGGUGGGCUAAUGACGGUACCGUAAGAAUAAGCACCGGCUAACUACGUGCCAGCAGCCGCGGUAAUACGUAGGGUGCGAGCGUUAAUCGGAAUUACUGGGCGUAAAGCGUGCGCAGGCGGUUAUAUAAGACAGUUGUGAAAUCCCCGGGCUCAACCUGGGAAUUGCAUCUGUGACUGUAUAACUGGAGUACGGGGGAGGGGGAUGGAAUUCCGCGUGUAGCAGUGAAAUGCGUAGAUAUGCGGAGGAACACCGAUGGCGAAGGCAAUCCCCUGGACCUGUACUGACGCUCAUGCACGAAA